UGUUUUUAAAGAUGUCUGAAAGCUAGAGUUCUUUGUAUAGAAACUGCUAGUGUUGAAUCAGAAUCCAUCUUUUUCAGGUGUUAAAGGACUUCCUUGAUACUGCUGAAGCUGAAGUAAGGGCACUUAUCUCCUUAUAUUCUGAAGUGGGAAGAAAUGCAGAUUCACUGUCUCAGUACUUCGGGGAGGAUCCAGCUCGAUGCCCCUUUGAGCAAGUGACUCAAAUCUUGGUAGUUUUCACAAAAAUGUUCCGCAAGUCUCGAGAAGAGAAUGAAAGACAAGCUGAAGCUGAGAAAAAGAAAUUGGAGAAAGAAGCGUUAAAGAAAGAGCAGCAACAAAUUUAUCUCGAAAAAAAGAUGUUGGAUGUUGAUAAUUCCAAACUCAAAUUUCAACUUGAGAAAUUUGGUUAGUGAUAAUCCACAUUUUUAGUAGUUGUACAUGUCGGAUAAAAAAAUAGAACAGAGUGUUGAAUAACUUUAGGGAAGAACUACAUUGAUGAAGGUUGUUGAUGUUAAAUGCGGCAUCAGUUUUCUUGCACGUAGGUGGGUGCUGUUUUUAAGCUUAUAUUCCAGUUUAGGUUGCAUAGAAUUGUACAAUCUUUUACCUCAUCUAUGGUUGGAUUUAAUGAUCCUUAUAAUAUAAUGCAAUAUUAAUAUAAUGUAAUUAGUUACAACAGGAAAA